rnacentral:rRNA from 1 species
AUUGAACGCUGGCGGCAGGCCUAACACAUGCAAGUCGAACGAGUGGCGGACGGGUGAGUAAUGUCUGGGAAACUGCCUGAUGGAGGGGGAUAACUACUGGAAAUGGUAGCUAAUACCGCAUACCAUCAGAUGUGCCCAGAUGGGAUUAGCUAGUUGGUGGGGUAACGGCUCACCAAGGCGACGAUCCCUAGCUGGUCUGAGAGGAUGACCAGACACACUGAAACUGAGACACGGGGCAGAUGCCUACGGGAGGCAGAAGUUGGGAAUAUUGAACAGUGGGAGCAAGCUGGAUGCAGCCAUGCGGCGUGUAUGAAUAAGGCCUUCGGGUUGUAAAGGACUGUCAGCGGGGAGGCGUUACCCGCAGAAUAAGCACCGGCUAAAUCCGUGCCAGCAGACGCGGUAAGAC